CCAAUCGAACCCGGAGAUAGCUGGUUCUCCUCGAAAUAGCUUUAGGGCUAGCCUCAUUUUAGUCUUAUGGAGGUAGAGCACUGAAUUUCCGCGGGGGCGUCAAAGCUUACCAAAGAAUAUCAAACUCCGAAUGCCAUGUAGAUGAUGAAUGGGAGUCAGACUGCACGAGAUAAGUUGGGCAGUCAAAAGGGAAAGAGCCCAGACCACCAGCUAAGGUCCCAAAGUGUGUGUUAAGUGGAAAAGGAUGUGGGAUUUCAAAGACAACUAGGAUGUUGGCUCAGAAGCAGCCACACAUUCAAAGAGUGCGUAACAGCUCACUAGUCGAGAGGUCCUGCGCCGAAAAUGUCCGGGGCUAAAACACAACACCGAAGCUGUGGAAUCACGUAAGUGAUUGGUAGAGGAGCAUUCUUAAGACCGACGAAGCUGUACCGGAAGGAGCAGUGGAGGGAUAAGAAGAGAGAAUGCCGGAAUGAGUAGCGAGAGAGAGGUGAGAAUCCUCUCGGCCGAAUAUCCAAGGUUUCCAGAGUAAAGCUGAUCUGCUCUGGGUAAGUCGGGGCCUAAGGAGAGGUCGAAAGACGUAUCCGAUGGACAACAGGUUUAGAUUCCUGUACCACAUAUGAACAGAACUGUGGGGACGCAUGUGGAGAGCACGAGCCGGGAAUGGAAAUACCGGUACAAGCGGAGAAGGAGUCUGGUUGGCAAAUCCGCCAGACAAUCCGAAGACGUGAUGUGGAGCGAAUUAGAGUAGCGAAGCGUGUGAGCCAUGUGCCGAGAAAAGCCGCUAUUGUUUCAUGUGUGCCCGUACCGUAAACCGACACAGGUGGAUGAGGAGAGAAUCCUAAGGCCGGCGGAAGAAGCAUUGUUAAGGAACUCGGCAAAAUGACCCCGUAACUUCGGGAGAAGGGGUGCCUGCGAGAGCAGGCCGCAGAGAAUAGGCUCAAGCAACUGUUUAGCAAAAACACAGGUCUAUGCGAAACCGAAAGGUGAAGUAUAUGGGCUGACGCCUGCCCGGUGCUGGAAGGUUAAGAGGAGAGGUUAGCGCAAGCGAAGCUUUGAAUUUAAGCCCCAGUAAACGGCGGCCGUAACAAUAACGGUCCUAAGGUAGCGAAAUUCCUUGUCGGGUAAGUUCCGACCCGCACGAAAGGCGUAAUGAUUUGAGCACUGUCUCGACAAUGCAUCCGGUGAAAUUGAAGUACCAGUGAAGAUGCUGGUUACCCGCGCCAGGACGGAAAGACCCCAUGGAGCUUUACUCCAGUUUGGUACUGGGAUUCGGUACUGCAUGUACAGGAUAGGUGGGAGACUAAGAACUUGGGACGCCAGUUUCAAGGGAGUCGCUGUUGGGAUACCACCCUUGCAGUAUUGGAUUUCUAACCAGCCGCCGUGAUCCGGCGGUGGGACAAUGCCAGGCGGGGAGUUUGACUGGGGCGGUCGCCUCCGAAAGGGUAUCGGAGGCGCUCA
rnacentral:rRNA from 1 species